rnacentral:rRNA from 1 species
GACGAACGCUGGCGGCGUGCCUAAUACAUGCAAGUAGAACGCCGUUGCGAACGGGUGAGUAACGCGUAGGUAACUGCCUCAUAGCGGGGGAUAACUAUUGGAAACGAUUGCUAAUACCGCAUACUGUGAGAUGGACCUGCGUUGUAUUAGCUAGUUGGUGGGGCAAAGGCUCACCAAGGCGACGAUACAUAGCCGACCUGAGAGGGGAGACAGCCAAACUGGGACUGAGACACGGGCCCGAAGCCUACGGGGAGCAGGAGGAGGGGAACUUCGGCAAAUGAGGGAAGUCUGGACGAACAACGGCGGGGGGGUGGAGGAGGGUUUCGGAGCGUAAAGCUCUGUUGAUAGAGAAGCGGUAACUAACCAGAAAGGGACGGCUAACUACGUGCCAGCAGCCGCGGUAAUUC